GACGUAGGGCGCGAGCGUUGUCCGGAUUUAUUGGGCGUAAAGAGCUCGUAGGCGGCUUGUCGCGUCGUCCGUGAAAACUUGGGGCUCAACCCCAAGCUUGCGGUCGAUACGGGCAGGCUAGAGUUCGGUAGGGGAGACUGGAAUUCCUGGUGUAGCGGUGAAAUGCGCAGAUAUCAGGAGGAACACCGAUGGCGAAGGCAGGUCUCUGGGCAUUAACUGACGCUGAGGAGCGAAAGCAUGGGGAGCGAACAGG
rnacentral:rRNA from 1 species